rnacentral:rRNA from 1 species
AACGAACGCUGGCGGCAGGCCUAACACAUGCAAGUCGAGCGAGGACUUCGGUCCUAGCGGCGGACGGGUGAGUAACGCGUGGGAACGUGCCCUUUGCUUCGGAAUAGCCCUGGGAAACUGGGAGUAAUACCGGAUGAGCCUUUUGGGGGGAAGAUUUAUCGGCGAAGGAUCGGCCCGCGUUGGAUUUGGUAGUGGGUGGGGUAAGGGCCUACCAAGCCGGCGAUCCAUAGCUGGUUUGAGAGGAUGAUCAGCCACACUGGGACUGAGACACGGCCCAGCCUCCUGCGGGAGGCAGCAGUGGGGAAUAUUAGGCAAUGGGCGAAACCAUGAUCUAGCCGUGCCGGGUGAGCGAUGAAGGGCUUAGGGUUGUAAAGCUCUUUCAGCUGGGAAGAUAAUGACGGUACCAGCAGAAGAAGCCCCGGCUAACUCCGU